rnacentral:rRNA from 1 species
GACGAACGCUGGCGGCGUGCUUAACACAUGCAAGUCGAACGAUGAAGCUGGAGCUUGCUCCGGUGGAUUAGUGGUGAACGGGUGAGUAACACGUGAGUAAUCUGCCCUUGACUCUGGGAUAACUGCGGAAAACUGUAGCUAAUACCGGAUACGACACCUUCGGGCAUCCGAUGGGUGUGGAAAGAAUUUCGGUCAAGGAUGAACUCGCGGCCUAUCAGCUAGGUGGUGAGGUAAUGGCUCACCAAGGCGACGACGGGUAGCCGGCCUGAGAGGGUGACCGGCCACACUGGGACUGAGACACGGCCCAGACUCCUACGGGAGGCAGCAGUGGGGAAUAUUGCACAAUGGGCGAAAGCCUGAUGCAGCAACGCCGCGUGAGGGAUGAAGGCCUUCGGGUUGUAAACCUCUUUUAGUUGGGAAGAAGCGAAAGUGACGGUACCAACAGAAAAAGCACCGGCUAACUACGUGCCAGCCGCCGCCGUAA